rnacentral:rRNA from 1 species
GACGAACCGUGCGAACGUUGUUCGGAAUCACUGGGCUUAAAGGGCGCGUAGGCGGCGCGUCAAGUCGGGGGUGAAAGCGUUCGGCUCAACCGGACCAGGGCCCCCGAUACUGACACGCUCGAGGGAGGCAGGGGCCGACGGAACUUCCGGUGGAGCGGUGAAAUGCGUUGAUAUCGGAAGGAACGCCGGUGGCGAAAGCGGUCGGCUGGACCUCUACUGACGCUGAGGCGCGAAAGCCAGGGGAGCGAACGGG